AGAACGAACGCUGGCGGCAGGCUUAACACAUGCAAGUCGAACGAACGUAGCAAUACGUUAGUGGCGCACGGGUGAGUAACACGUGGAUAUCUGCCUUUUGGUUCGGGAUAACCCUGGGAAACUAGGGCUAAUACCGAAUGGUUCCUACGGGAUAAAGAUUUAUCGCCAAAAGAUGAGUCCGCGUCCGAUUAGCUAGUUGGUGAGGUAAUGGCUCACCAAGGCGACGAUCGGUAGCUGGUCUGAGAGGACGAUCAGCCACACUGGGACUGAGACACGGCCCAGACUCCUACGGGAGGCAGCAGUGGGGAAUAUUGGACAAUGGGGGCAACCCUGAUCCAGCCAUGCCGCGUGAGUGAUGAAGGCCUUCGGGUUGUAAAGCUCUUUUGGCGGGGACGAUGAUGACGGUACCCGCAGAAUAACGCCCCGGCUAACUUCGAGCCAGCAGCCGC
rnacentral:rRNA from 1 species